GAUGAACGCUGGCGGCGUGCCUAAUACAUGCAAGUCGAGCGAACAGAUGAGGAGCUUGCUCCUCUGACGUUAGCGGCGGACGGGUGAGUAACACGUGGAUAACCUACCUAUAAGACUGGGAUAACUUCGGGAAACCGGAGCUAAUACCGGAUAAUAUAUUGAACCGCAUGGUUCAAUAGUGAAAUACGGUUUUUCUGUCACUUAUAGAUGGAUCCGCGCCGCAUUAGCUAGUUGGUAAGGUAACGGCUUACCAAGGCAACGAUGCGUAGCCGACCUGAGAGGGUGAUCGGCCACACUGGAACUGAGACACGGUCCAGACUCCUACGGGAGGCAGCAGUAGGGAAUCUUCCGCAAUGGGCGAAAGCCUGACGCAGCAACGCCGCGUGAGUGAUGAAGGUCUUCGGAUCGUAAAACUCUGUUAUUAGGGAAGAACAAAUGUGUAAGUAAAUAUGCACGUCUUGACGGUACCUAAUCAGAAAGCCACGGCUAACUACGUG
rnacentral:rRNA from 1 species